GACGAACGCUGGCGGCGUGCUUAACACAUGCAAGUCGAGCGAGGUCCAUCCAGUGGCAACACUGGGGAAGACCUAGCGGCGAACGGGUGAGUAACACGUGAGCAACCUGCCCCGAAGACUGGGAUAACACCGGGAAACCGGUGCUAAUACCGGAUGCCCUCACCGGGCCGCAUGACCUGGUGAGGAAAUGAAUUUUGCUUCGGGAGGGGCUCGCGGGCUAUCAGCUUGUUGGUGAGGUAACGGCUCACCAAGGCUACGACGGCUAGCUGGUCUGAGAGGACGAUCAGCCACACUGGGACUGAGACACGGCCCAGACUCCUACGGGAGGCAGCAGUGGGGAAUCUUGCGCAAUGGGCGAAAGCCUGACGCAGCAACGCCGCGUGGGGGA
rnacentral:rRNA from 1 species